rnacentral:rRNA from 1 species
GACGGAAGGUGCAAGCGUUGCUCGGAAUCAUUGGGCGUAAAGGGUGCGUAGGCGGCGCGGUAAGUCGGGUGUGAAAUCUCGGAGCUUAACUCCGAAACUGCAUUCGAUACUGCCGUGCUUGAGGACUGGAGAGGAGACUGGAAUUUACGGUGUAGCGGUGAAAUGCGUAGAUAUCGUAAGGAAGACCAGUGGCGAAGGCGGGUCUCUGGACAGUUCCUGACGCUGAGGCACGAAGGCCAGGGGAGCAAACGGG